AGAUUGAACGCUAGCGGCAUGCCUAACACAUGCAAGUCGAACGGUAACAGGCCCGUUCGGGGUGCUGACGAGUGGCGGACGGGUGAGUAAUGCGUAGGAAUCUACCCAUGAGUGGGGGAGUAGCCCGGAGAAAUCCGGAUUAAUACCGCAUAUGCCCUACGGGGGAAAGACGGGGGAGUCGAAAGACCUCGCGCCGGUGGAUGAGCCGAAGCCGGAUUAGCUAGUUGGUAGGGUAAUGGCCUACCAAGGCGACGACCCGUAGCUGGUCUGAGAGGACGACCAGCCACACUGGGACUGAGACACGGGCCCAGACUCCUACGGGAGGCAGU
rnacentral:rRNA from 1 species